UUCCGUAGGUGAACCUGCUGCUGGAUCAUUACCCA
rnacentral:rRNA from 2 species